CUGGCUCAGGAUGAACGCUGGCGGCGUGCCUAACACAUGCAAGUCGAGCGAUUCUCUUCGGAGAAGAGCGGCGGACGGGUGAGUAACGCGUGGGUAACCUGCCCUGUACACACGGAUAACAUACCGAAAGGUAUGCUAAUACGAGAUAAUAUGCUUUUAUCGCAUGGUAGAAGUAUCAAAGUUUUUGCGGUACAGGAUGGACCCGCGUCUGAUUAGCUAGUUGGUAAGGUAACGGCUUACCAAGGCGACGAUCAGUAGCCGACCUGAGAGGGUGAUCGGCCACAUUGGAACUGAGACACGGUCCAAACUCCUACGGGAGGCAGCAGUGGGGAAUAUUGCACAAUGGGCGAAAGCCUGAUGCAGCAACGCCGCGUGAGCGAUGAAGGCCUUCGGGUCGUAAAGCUCUGUCCUCAAGGAAGAUAAUGACGGUACUUGAGGAGGAAGCCCCGGCUAACUACGUGCCAGCAGCCGCGGUAAUACGUAGGGGGCUAGCGUUAUCCGGAAUUACUGGGCGUAAAGGGUGCGUAGGUGGUUUCUUAAGUCAGAGGUGAAAGGCUACGGCUCAACCGUAGUAAGCCUUUGAAACUGGGAAACUUGAGUGCAGGAGAGGAGAGUGGAAUUCCUAGUGUAGCGGUGAAAUGCGUAGAUAUUAGGAGGAACACCAGUUGCGAAGGCGGCUCUCUGGACUGUAACUGACACUGAGGCACGAAAGCGUGGGGAGCAAACAGGAUUAGAUACCCUGGUAGUCCACGCUGUAAACGAUGAGUACUAGCUGUCGGAGGUUACCCCCUUCGGUGGCGCAGCUAACGCAUUAAGUACUCCGCCUGGGAAGUACGCUCGCAAGAGUGAAACUCAAAGGAAUUGACG
rnacentral:rRNA from 1 species